GGAUGACCCUCUGGGCACCGCCUCUUCCGCUCGUGGCGACCGGAAGUGGGCGGGAGGGCCGGAAGUUUAAGGGAAUUUCCUGUGAGCUCGGCUUCCUCAACAUGGCAGCGCCCUUGUCGGUGGAGGUGGAGUUCGGAGGCGGCGCAGAGCUCCUGUUCGACGGCAUAAAGAAGCAUCAGGUCACCUUGCCUGGACAGGAGGAACCCUGGGACAUCCGGAACCUGCUUGUCUGGAUCAAGAAGAACUUGCUAAAAGAGCGGCCAGAGUUGUUCAUCCAGGGAGAUAGCGUCUCAGGCCCUCCUCCGGGGAGCCCCCUGGGUCCAGCACCCUGGCACCCAGUCUGGUCCAGGCAGAGCCCAGGAGAGAAGUCGCAGUGCUAGGAGGAGUAGGCGCAGAAGCCGUCGCGUUCUCAGCCCUGGCUCUUUGUCUGCUGCUUUGUGAUGAAUGCGAGCACCCUAGAAGCAGAGAUUGUCUUAUGUACUAUGUGCUCCAUAAAUACUUGCUGAAUGAAUGGGAUUAUAGAGGAUGCCAUGGCAGGGUAAGUCCCCCAGACAUGACAUGGGGAAGGUUUUCCAGAGGAAGUUAGUUGAAGGCUGAGACAGGAGGGCCUAUAGAAGUUUGGGCGGAGAAAAAACAAACAAACAAAAGGAUGUCGGACAGUCCUAAAGCAUGGCGUGUUCAGGAAAACUGUACAUAGUCCAAAUCGGCUUGAGCAGAUUAGAGGAGAGGGGAGGUCAGAGGAGUCAGAGAAGUGUCACAUAGGCCACGCAGGGCCUCGCUGCUCUGUGAGGGGUUUGAGCCCUAUACUGAGGGCAGUGCGCAGUCCCUGAAGGGUGUUAACCCAGGGCAUUUAGAAAGAGUGGCUGAGGGCAGAAUGGUUUCUAGGGAGAAAAUGUGGGGGGCAGGUCUCUGGGAGAUGCUGUGGGCCAGGUGAGUGGUACUGGUACACCGGUCGAGCGGCAGAGCAGAAGGAAAGAGGUGGCCAAGUGCCAGGGAUAUUGAGGAGGUGGUUUUGCCAGGAUGAGGUGAUGGAGUAGGUUGAGAGAGGGAUGCGGCAUCAGUGACACCCAGCUCUCCAGCUUGAAGGACCAGGUGGCAGAGGUGCCAUUCUCUAAAUUGGGGAGGCCACCAGAGGGGGAGAUGUUGGGGGGAAAGGGUAGCAUUCUGUUUUGAGCAAAUGGAAUCUUGGGGCACUUGGCUGGCUCAGUCGGCAGAACAUGUGACUCUUGAUCUCAAGGUUGUAAGGCUGAGCCCUACCCCUGAGUGUAGAGUUUAACACACACACACACACACACGCACACACACACAAUGUGGGUCCAAAUGGGUAGUGGAGACACUUGCGGUUUUCCAGAAAGACAGAGUGGCCCACGUGGUCAGCUGCUGAAGAGAACCCUCUUCUUGGUUGAGGAGGUAAUAUCCUUUGUGGGGAGUGGCCAGGAGGACUCUGGUCUUGACAGGAGCAGUUUGGCGGAACAGAGAUGAGGAAGGGACCCUUGGAGCAAAGCACAGAUCCUAGUUCAAGGGGUUUGGAGGGAGAGAGAGAGAUACGACUGUGGCUGGGGGCCCGCAAACAGCUUGGUGUUUUCCUGUUUUAAACUGGGGGAGAUUCAAGUCCUCUGGAAUGUCAAAGGAAGCACCCAGAAGAGAGGGAGGCUGAUGAUUCCAGGAAGGGCAAGGGCAUUUAGAGCUUAGGGGCCUUUCCAUCCUGAGGAGGGGGUACCUCUUCCCGCGGUACCAGGCAGUGAGAGCUGCGGUAGGCUUGGGGGAAGGGGAUGGAGGUUUGCAGGCUGGAAAUGAGAGUUCCCAGGUGAGGGCUUCUCUUUUCUCCCAAAAGUAUCAGGGAGAUCCUCCUGGAGCAGAGAUUGCAGAAGCUGUGACAUGCCACUGAGGAGAGGAGGCAGGAGCAGCACAGGGGAAACGGCCCGUUGGGCCUGGUCAGAAUCCAGUGGAGAGUGGAAAUCCUGUCUGCAGUAGCCCCAACAUGCC